GCGUUAGUGGUCUAACGGUUAUGAUGCGACCUUCCCAAGGUGUAUGAUUCGCCCAGGUCGCGAACGGGGUUCGACUCCCCGCUGACGCA